UACGUAGGGUGCGAGCGUUAAUCGGAAUUACUGGGCGUAACGCGUGCGCAGGCGGCUUUGCAAGACAGAUGUGAAAUCCCCGGGCUCAACCUGGGAACUGCAUUUGUGACUGCAAGGCUAGAGUACGGCAGAGGGGGAUGGAAUUCCGCGUGUAGCAGUGAAAUGCGUAGAUAUGCGGAGGAACACCAAUGGCGAAGGCAAUCCCCUGGGCCUGUACUGACGCUCAUGCACGAAAGCGUGGGGAGCAAACAGG
rnacentral:rRNA from 1 species